UUGAGGGGCAGCAUGAAUAAUAGCAAUAUUAUUUGAUGGCGACCAGCGCACGGGUGCGUAACACGUAUGCAAUCUACCUCGUACAUGGGCAUAACUCCGAGAAAUCGGUGCUAAUUCCCAAUGACACUAUUGAAGUGGCAUCACUUUAUAGUUAAAGUUCCGGCGGUACGAGAUGAGCAUGCGCCCAAUUAGCUAGUUGGUGAGGUAAUGGCUCACCAAGGCUACGAUUGGUAGGGGUUCUGAGAGGAUGAUCCCCCACACUGGUACUGAGACACGGACCAGACUCCUACGGGAGGCAGCAGUGAGGAAUAUUGCGCAAUGGACGAAAGUCUGACGCAGCCAUGCCGCGUGAAGGAUGAAUGCCCUAUGGGUUGUAAACUUCUUUUGUACGGGAAAAAACCCUUCUACGUGUAGAGGGCUGAUGGUACCGUAAGAAUAAGCACCGGCUAACUCCGUGCCAGCAGCCGCGGUAAUACGGAGGGUGCAAGCGUUAUCCGGAUUUAUUGGGUUUAAAGGGUCCGUAGGCGGGCCGAUAAGUCAGUGGUGAAAGCCCAUAGCUCAACUAUGGAACUGCCAUUGAUACUGUCGGUCUUGAGUACAAGUGAGGUUGGCGGAAUGUGUGGUGUAGCGGUGAAAUGCUUAGAUAUCACACAGAACACCGAUUGCGAAGGCAGCUGGCCAACUUGUAACUGACGCUGAGGGACGAAAGUGUGGGGAUCAAACAGGAUUAGAUACCCUGGUAGUCCACACCGUAAACGAUGAUUACUAGAUUUUGGCCUUAUGGUCAGAGUCCAAGCGAAAGUG
rnacentral:rRNA from 1 species